AGAAAAACACACGAUAAAAUAUCAAUUGGAAGGCUUAACUCAAUGAAAAAACGUAAAUUAACACACUAUGAACGAAUGAAUUUGAUCUGCGAUACCUGAAUGUAAAUACAUAGUUAAUAAAAUAUUAGGGACAACCAUUCAAGGCCAAAAAGCAAACAAACAUGUCCAAACAAAGCCAUGGCAAGAUACCACCGCGAAAUAU
rnacentral:lncRNA from 1 species